rnacentral:rRNA from 1 species
AGUAAUGUCUGGGAAACUGCCUGAUGGAGGGGGAUAACUACUGGAAACGGUAGCUAAUACCGCAUAACGUCGCAAGACCAAAGUGGGGGACCUUCGGGCCUCAUGCCAUCAGAUGUGCCCAGAUGGGAUUAGCUAGUAGGUGGGGUAACGGCUCACCUAGGCGACGAUCCCUAGCUGGUCUGAGAGGAUGACCAGCCACACUGGAACUGAGACACGGUCCAG